rnacentral:rRNA from 1 species
UAAUCGCAGAUCAGCAUGCUGUGGUGAAUACGUUCCCGGGCCUUGUACACACCGCCCGUCACACCAUGGGAGUCGGUAACACCCAAAGUUGGUAGUCUAACCGCAAGGAGGACGCCGCCUAAGGUGGGAUUGAUGACUGGGGUGAAGUCGUAACAAGGUACC